AAGGAACUCCGGACCUUGAAUCAUUUCAUG
rnacentral:piRNA from 1 species